GACACGGGCGGCGUGCUAUAAUGCAGUCGAGCGGACAGAAGGGAGCUUGCUCCCGGAUGUUAGCGGCGGACGGGUGAGUAACACGUGGGUAACCUGCCUGUAAGACUGGGAUAACUCCGGGAAACCGGAGCUAAUACCGGAUAGUUCCUUGAACCGCAUGGUUCAAGGAUGAAAGACGGUUUCGGCUGUCACUUACAGAUGGACCCGCGGCGCAUUAGCUAGUUGGUGGGGUAAUGGCUCACCAAGGCGACGAUGCGUAGCCGACCUGAGAGGGUGAUCGGCCACACUGGGACUGAGACACGGCCCAGACUCCUACGGGAGGCAGCAGUAGGGAAUCUUCCGCAAUGGACGAAAGUCUGACGGAGCAACGCCGCGUGAGUGAUGAAGGUUUUCGGAUCGUAAAGCUCUGUUGUUAGGGAAGAACAAGUGCGAGAGUAACUGCUCGCACCUUGACGGUACCUAACCAGAAAGCCACGGCUAACUACGUGCCAGCAGCCGCGGUAAUACGUAGGUGGCAAGCGUUGUCCGGAAUUAUUGGGCGUAAAGGGCUCGCAGGCGGUUUCUUAAGUCUGAUGUGAAAGCCCCCGGCUCAACCGGGGAGGGUCAUUGGAAACUGGGAAACUUGAGUGCAGAAGAGGAGAGUGGAAUUCCACGUGUAGCGGUGAAAUGCGUAGAGAUGUGGAGGAACACCAGUGGCGAAGGCGACUCUCUGGUCUGUAACUGACGCUGAGGAGCGAAAGCGUGGGGAGCGAACAGGAUUAGAUACCCUGGUAGUCCACGCCGUAAACGAUGAGUGCUAAGUGUUAGGGGGUUUCCGCCCCUUAGUGCUGCAGCUAACGCAUUAACACUCCGCCUGGGGAGUACGGUCGCAAGACUGAAACUCAAAGGAAUUGACGGGGGCCCGCACAAGCGGUGAGCAUGUGGUUUAAUUCCAAGCAACACAAUAACCUUACCAUGUCUUGACAUCCUCUGACAUCACUAUAGAUAGGGCUUCGCUUUCAGGGAACGAGUGACAGGUGGUGCAUGGUUUGUCUCAGCUCAGUGUCGUGAAAUGUG
rnacentral:rRNA from 1 species